rnacentral:rRNA from 1 species
AGCAUGUGGUUUAAUUCGAUGAUACGCGAGGAACCUACCUGGGCUCGAACGUAAGAUGACUGUAGGUGAAAGCUUACAUCUCUUCGGAGCAUUUUACGAGGUGCUGCAUGGUUGUCGUCAGCUCGUGCCGUGAGGUGUCGGGUUAAGUCCCAUAACGAGCGCAACCCCUACCUUUAGUUGCCAUCAGGUUAAGCUGGGGACUCUAAAGGAACUGCCUACGCAAGUAGUGAGGAAGGCGGGGAUGACGUCAAAUCAGCACGGCCCUUACGUCCAGGGCUACACACGUGCUACAAUGGCCGAUACAGAGGGCAGCUACCUGGUGACAGGAUGCAAAUCUCCAAAGUCGGUCUCAGUUCGGAUCGGAGUCUGCAACCCGACUCCGUGAAGUUGGAUUCGCUAGUAAUCGCGCAUCAGCCAUGGCGCGGUGAAUACGUUCCCGGGCCUU